GUUAAAAUAACCUGAUAAAUAAUAGAGAAACAUAAAAGAAUGAAACACUAGUGAUUAGUUAACUAACAAAUAAAUAACACUAGUGAUCGAAGAAUCAAGUAAGCAUAUCCGCGCGAGCGAGCGCGCAUAUGUCGCAGUGGUCGAUUGGAGGGGGGGGGGGGGGGGUCGACGGUCGGCGUCAGCGCUGUGACUCACAGUGCCGCACCAGCCGGGCCGGCGAGACGAACUUCUCGCUCAACAGGCAGCCGCCGUUAGCGCGAGGCCGACCUUGCAGCUUUCGAUUGUGCCGAGGGCUUUCGCCGUUCUCGUAGACUGCGCGGCUGUUGACGCGUCACUUCUCGCUGCGAGGAAGCCAAGUGAGUUGCGAAACGCGGAGUCUCGCCCGGAGGACGUCGUCGUCGCUCGCCUUGGCUAAUUUUCAACGAAUGCCGCGUUACGCUCGCGCGCUUUCGCGACAAACGUGUUAUAAUGCCGGAUGACGUUUUGGAAAUCAGCUUGCGAUGAUUUUACGAUCGAUCUCGGUUUCGGCGCGAGUCGCGAAAUCGCGGCUUCUCACUCGCAAUUUAUAAGACGCGCAACGGCAUAUAGCGCUGCACUGAACGCUGCUGAUAAGGGAUCGUACGGUCGUCGAGACAGUUUUCUUCUGCCGCGCUACGGGAACACUGCGAGGAAAAACGUUCUUUGAUUCGCCGCGAACUCAAAUCGAUCUUUUCCCACUGCAAAGACAACGAUUCUUGGAAAAAGAGUGGCUGGGCGUUGUCGCAUCGAGGCUCUCUUGGACUUGCGUCGGCCAAGUUUUUACUGAAAAAUCGGCGAUGCGCUGUCGCGUACGCACCUUACAGCGAGAAGCGGAACUCUGUCUCGGCGCCCGUCGGCAGUUAAGCGAGCACAGAUAAGACGCACGCGGUGCAUCCUCGCGAGUCUGCAUUUGUACGUAGCGUAAGAGAAGAUCGGGCGAAACGAGCCGUCGACGUACCAGCGAGGACGAUAAACCGAGCACCUCUUCGCGAUCGCGCCCGCACUGCCCUCGAAGAAGGGACAGCCCAAUUCCACUUGGCGAGCUCUUCCCUCCAGGGACAGCCCAGCACGGGAUAGAAAAAGCGCCCCUUCGGUCGGAGGCCGCGGCGCGAGCGUAUAGAUUGGACGGCGGCGUUCGAGGGGGAAGACGCGGGCUCGACGCGGCGACGAAACCGAGAACGGAGAGGCGGAUGUGUCGCGCACCACGGGGCGCGCACACCUACCGCUAUCCACGCUCGAGCUUGCGCCCUCGGGCAAGCGACACCGGCGCGCCGGGCCGGCUGGCAUGGACGACACUGCGGCGCGCAAGCUCGCCUCAAGCUGCCAUGCGCGUUGGGAAAAGCGCGUCUUUCGCGGCAACUGGUGCGCUGCGGAGGCCGUCGCGCAUCCACGGCGCACGUCGAUUGUCCGCAAGGAGAUUGUCCGCGCGCGCUGCUGCUGCGCGAAUCGACCGGUCGACCGAUUUGCUCGCAGCUGUUUCGCCAUCGACGGUGCAGAAGCUCGCGGCGAAGCAGGAACGCCGAGAAAGAUGCCAGCACCGACGUCGCCAUCAGUGCGGGCGACCCAACGCUCCCAGCUUCAGCAGCUCAAGUUCAAAGCUCAUCAAACUGCCGAUGAGUCGCUGGAAAGCACAAGGCGUAUGCUGGCUAUGUGCGAGGAGGUGAGAUGUCGCACGGCACUAGUGGAAAGCAGACGCGCGAUAAGUUUGCUCUUGCUCGUUUUUUCAUUGAGAAUUCAUUCCAGACAAUCGCGGUUCAAGUAAACUUGUGGCUUUCUGCCUUUGUCGCGUGCUCCGUUGCAUUACCUUGGACAUCGAGUAGAGCGUAGGCGAGCCGUGAAACUGUACCGGUCGUCUUGACCAAUUUUCGGUGCAUCGGCUCGCUCUCACCUGCUUUAAUUUUCAAAAACAGCGCCAAUCUUCGGAUUGCCAAAGAUCUCUCGCAGAAAUAAAAACGGAAAACUUCGUGAAAUCUCGUAAUUUCUUUGUUUCGUCGCGCGACGAUGUUUGUGCGACUCGCAGCUUAUCGCGUCUGCGUCGCAAACAAAUGUCGAAUUGUAAGUGCAGCUAAAAUGACGCCAAUCGCAUCGAUCUAUGCGGAAAUUUACGCGUUCGAAGCUUUCGCAAAAGUGCGACGAAAAUACGCAGCGCCAGAGAAGUGACGUUGACGACAACGGCGCAGUCGACGUGGCAAACGCAGCCUCGAGGCACCGGGAGAGCAUCGGCAUCGCCGUUAUUGAUACGCGACAACGCGAGACCGACUCGCUGUAGCCAAGCCCGCGAGCGAUAUUUUAUGCAACGAGACCGACUUCGAUUUGACGCACGCAAGAUAACUUCAUGCCCCGGAGAAUGAUCGAUGCGCCAGUCGAAACCCAACCCGUCCAACUCGCUACUCGAUGUAACACUGCAGCUGGACAUGCUUUUUUUUCACGCGCUUCCUCGGUCUGCGUACGUAGAGCAAGGAGACAGGCAUUCGCACUCUGGUCGCUCUCGAUGACCAGGGAGGUGAGUUUUCAGUUCACUCAGGACCACUUGAACGUUUUUAAUGCUGACUUUUCGUUUAUUCAUGUAGUGCACCUUCUCUCGCAUUAUUUACAAUCUUUAUGCGCACCUUGCAACUUUGUUUUGACGUUACUUUUUCACGACGUUAUUCUUCAUUAUUUUUUGCAGUCAAAACCUGUCGUUUUUUUUUCUUCAGUUAUGCUUGUGAUGCACCGCAUUGUUUUUUUAUCACAAUUGAUUUACAAACAAAUUCUAUGAUUAGUAUUUAGAAAAAUCAUUGUUGAGUAAUUGUUAUUGCAAUCGAUGUAUUAGUUAAUCGGUGUUCUACAACUAGUUGAUAAGUUCUUGGUAAGCGUGAGUCAUUUGGUCACAAAAAUUUAUUUAUUAUAUGUUAUAUUAAUUGUUACAUUCCGUACAGUUCUUGUAAAUUGUGUAUCACUUAGGUCCGUCGUGCAUUUGGCAGACUAUCUGUACAAUAAGAAGCUCUUAUUUAAUUUUUAACUUAGUUACGUGGACACGUAUACACGUAUAUUUUGAGAAUUUGCACAUUUUCUAAUAUCCUUAUUUCGGAAUGCGAAACACGAAUAACCGGAAACUUAUGCAUUCGGAAAUAUUUGACAUUAAUUAUAGAUAAAACCGUCUCUUCGACAAAGUUAUCAAUAAUUCGAAUAGGUAUGUUGCAACACUUGAUAGUAGCAUAUGAAGCAACUGGAAAAUAGACAAGCGAUAUUUAUGAACGUAGUAUACAGAGACACCAGAGGCUACUUGCCUCUUUGAUUGUGCAUCCUUUUGUAUUUGAGUAAUCCGUCCAUGAAAAUAAUGAUAUUAAAUAGUAACUUUCGUCAAUGACGUGUACUUGUUUUUUGUAAUUUCCAUUUGAAAGAUGGCCGUUCAAACGUAGCAACAGUAAUGUCUUUCGUUUAACUGCACUAAGCAACAGAGCUAAUUCUAUUAUGUAACAAAGUGUUUGUUUUUCUUGAGACUUUCCGAGCGUAAAAAUUGAGAAAAAUAGCAUAAUGGUAUAGUUUCAUGCUCACCGACGUUUUAACGACUGUUACUCAGAUUUUUUAACGUCCAUACGUGCAACUUCUCAACUUAAUUUCACUUUAGGUUCAAAAAUAGAAAAUCUGUAAUUUAUGACGUAUUUCACGGUUGCUGCGAUACUUCCGCACUUCCAUUCUAUUUGUUGUUUGGCGUGCGAACGCCAACGUGGUGUCAGCUGCUAAAAUGCCGAAUUCCGCUGGCAGCCUUGUCUUCGUUGCACGUUAAUUGUCGUGGCUCAAUGUCUCGCGCACGAGACGCGGAGAUUGGCCCGAACGAGCGCUAAAACACGACGAUCGGUAAACAGAGCAGCUGGACCGGGUGGAAGCGGGCCAAGACCAGAUCAACGCCGACAUGAAGAAGGCCGAGGAGAACUUGACGAGCAUGGAGAAGUGCUGCGGGACGUGCAUUCUGCCGUGGAACAGGUAGGCGAGGCGUGCGUUACCUUCCGCUCGCGACUAACAGCUCGCCGGCGACGCGCACAGGAGCGCGAGCUUCAAGGAGAACGAGACCACGUGGACGGGCAACGACGACGACGACGACGACGACGACGACGACGACGACGACGACGGUAAGGUGGUGAACGACCAGCCGCAGCGGUUGAUGGGCCAGCGCCA